rnacentral:lncRNA from 1 species
CAAAUAAAGAAGAACCAUAUUACAUGUGGAGCGAAUGCAAUUUUUAUCCUAAAAGUAAUAUUAUUUUUCUUAUUCAAAGAUGUAUGAUACAAGUUGGAGAUGAUGGGGUGUUUAAAAUGCACGACCAACUUAGAGAUAUGGGUAGAGAAAUUGUGAGACGAGAGGAUGUGGAGCGGCCGUGGAAGAGAAGUAGGAUAUGGUCAAGCGAAGAAGGAAUUGAUCUCUUGUUGAACAAAAAGGUAUAUAUGUUGUUGAACAAAAAGGUAUUUAAUUUCCUGUAAAAUUAAUAUGAAUAUAUAUAUUUAAAUGUCAUAAGUGAUAAUUAGAUAUGUUCCUUGUCCAAUUACAGGGAUCAAGUCAAGUAAAAGCAAUUAGCAUACCGGAGCCCUCUGAGUGGGUUGGCAAGUAUGAGUUUAAGAGCGAAUGUUUCUUGAAUUUGUCAGAGCUUAGAUACUUCCAUGCAAGUUCAGCCAUGCUUACCGGAGAUUUCAAUAAUCUUCUCCCGAAUUUGAAGUGGCUUCAGUUGCGCGAUUACAACCCAUAUAGAGAGGAUGAUCCUCCUUUGACCAAUUUUACUAUGAAAAAAUUGGUAAUUCUUGAUUUGACCAAUAGCAAAACAGACUGGAGCCAGAUGAUUAAGGUGUGCGUUUUUCACCUCUCACUUGUCAGUUAUCUUCCUCUUUAUUCUUCAUGUUUUUGUCUUAACUGUGGCUUAAUCUGGUUCUACAUAGAUGGCUGCGAGGCUGAAAGUUGUACGACUGUUUUCCUAUUCGGACUCCAAAAGACUUUCUGGCUGUUGGCGCUUCCCCAAAAGCAUUGAGGUAUUAUCCAUGUUUCGGAUAGAAAUGGAGGAACUUGAUAUUGGGAAGUUAAAGAUGCUAAAGACGUUGAAACUAAACGAUAGUAAAAUACAAAAGGUAAGUGGGGGAACCUUUGGUAUGUUGAAGGGACUCGUAGAACUUUAUCUCGGCGACUUCAAGUGUACAAAUUUGAGACAAGUAGUUGCCGAUAUCAGUCAACUUUCGUCUCUCAAAGUCUUGGACACAUAUAGAGUUGAAGAGGUCGAGAUUAAGGAAUUUCCAUCAGUUUUGAAGAAGUUAUCCACUUCAUCUCGGAUUCCGAAUCUUUCACAGUUGUUGGAUUUGGAGGUACUGGAGGUUCUGUAUUGCAAGGAUGGAAUGGACAUCCCUCCUGCUAAGAGUACUGAAGAUGAAGGUAGCGUGUGGUGGAAGGUAUCCAAGUUGAAGUCUUUGAAACUCUAUCGCACAAGAAUCAAUAUCGACGUUGUGGAUGCUUCUUCCGGUUGUCGUUAUUUACUACCAUCGUCGCUAACCUCUCUCAAAAUAAAUUCGUGUGAAGAACCAACGUGGCUUCCAGGAAUAGAGAACUUGGAGAAUUUGACUUCGCUGGAAGUCAACGACAUCUCCCAAACUCUUGGAGGUGAUUUGGAUGGGCUACAAGGGUUGAGAUCAUUGCAAAUUCUUAGGAUUCGGUUAGUAAAUGGUUUAGUUCGGAUCAAAGGGCUUAAGGAUCUCUUGUGUUCUUCUACCUGCAAGUUGCGGAAAUUAGAUAUUAUAACAUGCCAUGACCUCACUGAGAUACUCCCAUGCGAAAUCGACGACCAAAAAGUGGUAGUCCCCUCUCUGGUAGAACUGACCAUUAGGAAGUGUCCACGGCUGGAGGUUGGUCCGAUGAUAAGAUCCCUCCCAAAGUUCCCAAUGCUAAAGGAGUUGGAACUGUUGAUGGUAAAAAUAGCUGAAGAGGAGGAUCUGGAUGUGAUCGGAUCCUUAGAAGAGUUGGUUUAUUUAUGGUUAGAGUUAGACGAUACAUCUUCCGGUAUAGAGAGGAUAGCUUCCUUGUCGAAGCUGCAAAAGUUAACUACACUCACAGUGAAGGUGCCGAGUUUGCGGGAGAUUGAAGGGCUUGCAGAGUUGAAGUCUUUAUGUCUUUUGAUUCUAGAGGGUUGCACGUCGUUGGAAAGACUGUGGCCUGAUGAACAGCUGGUGUGUAGUCUGGAGAAGCUGAAGCACCUCGACAUCCGAGGUUGCAGAAGCUUGAGUGUUGAUCAUCUCUCUGCACUCAAGACCACUCUAUCACCCAAGGUGAGUAUAACAUGGCCCGAUGAGAAAUACAGACGAUUGCGGUUAUUUGAUUGAGAUUUUUAUAAGUUACGAGGUAGUUAUUAUUUUGAAGAACACUCUUUUGUUACAGGCAUCAAGUUUGAUUGUGAUGGUAGUGCUUAUGAGUUUUAUAAAAUAUUAGUUUGUAUGGUCGUAUGAUGUUGCUGAAUUUUAUUGCUGAAUUUUAAAUUGAAGUUGAUAUGACAUUACACACCCGUAGAUAAAGUAAUAAAUAGUUGUAUAAUUAUAAAUAUAAGAUGGUGAACAAAACACCGAAUGGAUUGAAACAUUAAUAAAUUGCUCAUAUAGUGGCGGAAGGAAGAUGAUAAAGGAGAGAGUUUCGAAGUCCAAAAUUCUUAUCGUUCUUGAUGAUGUUGACGAGAAGUUUAAAUUUGAAGAAAUACUUGGCUGUCCUAAUGAUUUUGAUUCUCGAAGUAGAUUCAUCAUUACUUCAAGAAAUCAGAAAGUCUUGAGUACUUUAAAUGAGAAUCAAUGCCAGUUGUAUGAAGUUGGAUCGAUGAGCGAACCACAUUCGCUUGAACUCUUCUUCAAGCAUGCAUUCAAAAAGAAUACGCCUUCAUCGAAGUAUGUGACUCAAGCAAAUGAGAUUGUAUCUACUACGGGAGGACUUCCAUUGACUUUUAAGGUUAUAGGUUCGCUUUUAUAUAGACAACAGAUUGAGGUUUGGGAAGAUACGUUGGAACAGUUACAUAAAACUGGUAUGGUUGGUGAUGAUGAGGUUUAUGAGAGGUUAAAAAUAAGUUAUGAUAAGUUGGAGUUGAAGGCAAAAGAGAUUUUCUUGGAUAUAGCUUGCUUUUUCAUCAAUACAAAGAAAGAAGAACCAUAUCACAUGUGGAGCGACUGUAAUUUUUAUCCUAAAAGUAAUAUUAUUUUUCUCAUUCAAAGAUGUAUGAUACAAGUUGGGGAUGAUGGGGUGUUUGAGAUGCAUGACCAACUUAGAGAUAUGGGUAGAGAAAUUGUGAGAAGAGAGGAUGUGGAGCGGCCGUGGAAGAGAAGUAGGAUAUGGUCGAGCGAAGAAGGAAUUGAUCUCUUAUUGAACAAAAAGGUAUUUCAUUUUCUGUA